UGAGGGGGAUCAUUACCGAGUUUACACUCCCAACCCAAUGUCGAACGUUACCAAACUGUUGCCUCGGCGGGGUCACGCCCCGGGUGCGUCGCAGCCCCGGAACCAGGCGCCCGCCGGAGGAACCAACCAAACUCUUUCUGUAGUCCCCUCGCGGACGUAUUUCUUACAGCUCUGAGCAAAAAUUCAAAAUGAAUCAAAACUUUCAACAACGGAUCUCUUGGUUCUGGCAUCGAUGAAGAACGCAGCGAAAUGCGAUAAGUAAUGUGAAUUGCAGAAUUCAGUGAAUCAUCGAAUCUUUGAACGCACAUUGCGCCCGCCAGUAUUCUGGCGGGCAUGCCUGUCCGAGCGUCAUUUCAACCCUCGAACCCCUCCGGGGGAUCGGCGUUGGGGAUCGGGACCCCUCACACGGGUGCCGGCCCCGAAAUACAGUGGCGGUCUCGCCGCAGCCUCUCCUGCGCAGUAGUUUGCACAACUCGCACCGGGAGCGCGGCGCGUCCACGUCCGUAAAACACCCAACUUUCUGAAAUGUUGACCUCGGAUCAGGUAGGAAUACCCGCUGAACUUAAGCAUAUCAAUUUAAGCGGAGGA
rnacentral:rRNA from 1 species